GCAGCGGGGUUGGCUAUAUCGAAUUUGAAUGAGGAGCCUCAGCGCUUUCGGCGCCAUUUUCGAGUGAUGCCUGAUCCCAUCGAUUUAGCCGGAGAGAUGAGAUAACCUGAUCCAAAGUAUAUCGCCAGUAGAACUCCAUCAAAAAAUCACUAAAAAAAUCUCCAAAAAUCCCUUCGAAGUAGAACAGUUCGUGGAGCUUCGCCAGGGUUGGCGCAGUUGGUUUAAUAAUGAUAAAAUGAAGAGCAUAAUGAAAUAGCCUGUACUUGGUUCAGCAAUUUUUACCUUGUGGAUAUUACUAUCCCUUAUUCAUGGAAAAAAUUUUAUUCUAAGUGUUGUUUCUCAUUGAAAAUUAACAAAAGGGAGAAAAAAUAAUGUCCUAAAGGUUUGAGAUAGAUUUGGCACUAAGACCAAUGAAGGGAGGGAGAAUGAGAGGGAAACAUCCAUUGGUUGCCUGUCUCUUGCCCCAACCUGGAGACCUAGCCCACAACCCAGAAAUGUGCUCUGACUGGGACUCAAAUCUGCACAACCAUUCAGUUUGCGGGACAACAUCCAAACCACUGAGCCAUACCAGUCAGGGUUUGUCACAAAUUUUUAUAAUCCUAGGACAGUACUGGUUUUCAAUACAGGGUGGGGAAAAAGUAGGCUUACAAUUGUUCAUAUGGAAAAAAAUAACACAAGAAUAAACUCUGGUUUGUGUAUUCAAAAUUGUAAACCUUUUCCUCCACCCUGUAUAUCUAUUUUGCAAAUAAUUCUGUACACUGACAUUACUCAUAAAAGCAAAGGGAAAAGUAAAAUCUUGUAGAUUUAUGUGGAAACCUCAAUAUCACCUUCAAACUGGAAAGUAUGUGAUUAAAGUUGCUGUUAUAGAAAAAAUUAGGUUUAUUUUUCUUACCCUUUAUCAAACUGACACCUUGACAAUAUGAGACAAGAUCAACAAAAAGGAAAACAACCCCAGUGAAACUUGGAGAAGCAUUCACUAUAAAUGAAAAAUAAGAAGAAAUGUAUUUUUAAAGGUUUAUCAGAUAAAGCAUUUAAUUGUAUUAAUGCGACAAUAUGGAGUACUAGAUUUAGUUAACUGAAGUUUUCAAUCUUAAACUUAGAAUAUUUUCUAAAAUUAAUUUCAGUAUAUUUUCUUCUCAUAAAUAGAGUAAUUCAGGUUAACUAAGAAUUCAAUUUGAAGAAUUCCAAUCUUUAAGGAAAAUUUCAGUUUAUUUCAACAUAAAAUCAUUGUAUUCAUAAUUUAACAACAUGCUUGAAAGAUGUACACUGUAAAGGAUUUGAAUUACAAACUUUUCAAUAUUAAUCUGUUGGUUGUAAACAAGUUUAUGUACUUGUAAACUCUCCUACUGCCAGAAAUUGGAUCAGAUGGGAUUGGAUUAUCAAGAAUAGCUACUGUUUCAAUUAUGGUUAUGUUAAAUACAUGUGGUAGUAUUGGACAGUUUUACUCAUGCAAAUCUAUUUCUGCAUAGUGUGAAAAUCUGAAGUGGUGAUAAUGUGAGAUUUCAAAUUCUGUAAAUAUAAUUUCAUCAAAAAUUAUUAAAUACUACUUUAAAAUUUUUCUGUUUGCAUUUUUAAGUGAGAUCAUCUUUUAUUAUUAAGAGCCUAUUCUAUGCCCAGUAUUUCACUAUAAUCUAAACCAAAAAGCCUCUGUCAGCAAAUAACUUUUAGUCUAGAUGGGGACAUUAUACUCAUAUACAACAAACAACUAGAGAAUAGUGGAAUGUAAAGUCUAUUGCUGACUUGAAGUGCAGUAGAAGCUUAAAGGAAAUGUGGGCUUAGACUCAUCAGACAAGACUUAGAGGAAGUGGAAGAUGAGCCAGGCUUAAAGAAUGGAUUAGAUUAAUUCAGUGAAAUGAAGGAACUGGACACAAUCAAGUGCAGAAAAAUGAGCCAAAUCAUGAUCAGGUAGGAAGGAGUUAAGUGAAAACACUACAUUAAAAGCAGAAUUUGAAUUGGGGAAUAGGUAGGAAAAUCAGCAUAACCCUAUUUUAGAUUGUUUUCCUUCCUUUACAUAAGCCACUCUAAUUUCUAAAAGAAGAAAAGUAUUUUGAUUGCCUGGAGCCCUUUGAGAGCCAAGGUGUGAUAAUUUGAAGAAAAAAACACAAUUUGUAAGAAAUAUUGGAAGGAAAUCUAGGCUUAAAUUAGAUGAUUUUACCCUAUACAUUAGAGAAUCUAUGGGUUUUAACUCAGAAAAUCAAAGGGUUGCAUAUAAAAAUUCUACUGUCAGGAUAUUCGUUGUCCUAGUCAGGUUGAUUUUACCACUGUGGGAACAAUUAUGAAUUAAUAUGAAAGUACUAUUGAGCCAAAUGGAAAUACUCCUUCCAAACCACUCUAAUUUGCAUCCAAUCCUUAGCUCAAGUGAUUUACUCCUAUAAUGUCCUUUCCCUCAUUUUCAACUGUCUAAAUCUUAGGCUGUCUACAACCCUACAUGGAAUUUACCUCUUCAGCCACAAAUGUCAUUUCUUGUGCUUCUAUACCUAAUGUAGAACAGUGAAUACAUCCUGCCUUAUUGGCAGGGACUAUCACUUUUUAUUGUGUACUCUUCAAGGGUAAAUAACAUAGCAGAUGCUUGGUAAAUGGCAACUGAUUCCUUAAAAUCAUCAGUAAUACUUUUAUGAUAAAUUAAUACAUGCUGGAAAUGCUAAAUACCAGCUAGAUAAAUGUAAUGUCUAGGUUCUUUCCUGGUAGUUUAGGAGUUCCCCACUAUUCACUACUUACUGAGGCUCUUUUCAUUCUAUGCUACCUACUAACAUUCAUGCCUCAAGUUUUAGCUACCUUACAGUGUCUUUUUAAAAUUUUUUUAAAGUCAGAAGCCUCUGAGUGGGGUAUAAAUAGUUGGAAAGCCUGUGAAAUUUUAAUAUCCCUUUUGAGGAUCGUUAAUGAUUGAACUGAAGCUUUCCAAGAACGUAUAGUUUGUUUUCUGUUGGUUUUUAUUUGUAUGUCUGAGGAGAUGGGAGACAGUAGUAGAACGAAAAGUCCUUAUAUUUAAAAGUACUUUUCAAGAGAUAACAUUACCAUAUUCACAAAACAAAUGUAUUGAGUAUCCACUGCAGUUCUUUAAAAUGAGUCUUUAAAAGAAAAUGGUAUGCUUUCUGAAUUCCUCUGCCUACUGGAGCUAUCUCCUGGAGUGGAAUAGGUUUUCUUAAAAUCUUUGGAAAAUUUUUUAAGAGACUAUAAAUUGCACCAAAAAAGCUUUAAGGAAUCUAAGAAGGCAAAGAUAAUUAUGAAUCAAAUAUGCAGCAUUUGUUUUCUACUGGGACACUUAAGUCAUAUUCACAAUGUGAUAAUUUAUUUUAUGUACACUGAGUUCUUUUAUGUAAAAUCUAUAGGAUAUGUGUGUUUUCCAGAAUCUAGGUAUAAGUUAUGCAUAACAUUUAGCCAAAAGUCAGGAAUUCAACCAGUAAUUAAAUAAUGGUUCCUACACAAAGCAGUUUUCCUCUAUAUUGAUUUACUUUACCAUCUGUUUUCUAGGCAUAUAUUUUGGCAUCAUCCACCCAAAACGGUGAGAACUGACUAUACCAAGCAUACCUAGACCACAUGAAGAAAGGAGUGAGACUAGAAACUGCAAACCCACAUUGUCUGUAUUGAACAGAUUGACGACAGACCACUCUAGCAAAGGACAGUAAAUGCCACAUGAGAUGAUCCCCUCAACACAAAGUUGUAUGUAAUCUUAAAUAAACAUUUCCAAAAUUAAAUUAAAACUCUCCCUUUUUCCUUGAAGUGUCAUAUCUCAUUUUUGUGCCUAUAAGAAAAUCCCUACUUUUGUAUCAUUUAUGAAGGUCAAUGACUAAAGUGUGUUACUAUUCUUGAAUCUUAACCUCUAUUUCCAUUAAUAAAACAAAGAUCUCUCCCAGUACUAAACUGAAAGAAUAAAAUUGAGAACUUAAAGUCCAAAUAAUUCACUUAGUUAAAACUUUGUAAAAUUGACGUGGCUUUUAUUUCUCAAGUGGAAAGGCAAGUAAUUGAAUUGUGGGAAAUGUACUGGUCUCCAGUUUCAAGAAACAGUACAGCACAAAGACCUGGCAUUCUGGCUGAAGAGUUGUAAUAAUAAACAGAAAUUUGAAAACCAGGAAGGUAUGUUUUUCAAGAGUGCAACUGUGGCAUUUCAAAGGAGGUAUAACAAGAAAUUCUAGAAGCUGGCCAAAAUUGGUUUAGAUAAUUGAGGUUCCUUAUUUAGAUACUUGUUUUUGAUGGAGAAACACAGUGAUGAGGAAAUGAAGAAGGUUCUAAGAGGUCUGAAACUUUCUCCUUCUCAUCCUAAAUUGGAUUUGCCUCUGAAGAAAACUGUUAGCCCCCCACAAAAAAAAAAAAAAAAGGAAUUCAAUACUGCUUAAAUUGUAGAGUUUAAAAAGUGACCAAAGCAGCCCUGGCUGGUGUAACUCAGUGGAUUAAGCAUGGGCUGUGAACCAAAGGAUCACUGGUUCAAUUCCUAGUCAGGGCACAUGCCUGGGUUGUGGGCUAGGUCCCCAAUGG